UACGUAGGUGGCAAGCGUUGUCCGGAAUUAUUGGGCGUAAAGCGCGCGCAGGCGGUUUCUUAAGUCUGAUGUGAAAGCCCACGGCUCAACCGUGGAGGGUCAUUGGAAACUGGAGAACUUGAGUGCAGGAGAGAAGAGUGGAAUUCCACGUGUAGCGGUGAAAUGCGUAGAGAUGUGGAGGAACACCAGUGGCGAAGGCGACUCUUUGGCCUGUAACUGACACUGAGGCGCGAAAGCGUGGGGAGCAAACAGG
rnacentral:rRNA from 1 species